CCAUGACCCAGGGAUUAAACUCGUGUCUCUUGCAUCUCCUGCCUUGUAGGUAGAUUCUUUACCAACUGAGCUAUCCAGGAAGCAUAUCCUAGGUAGCGUUUGUUCUAAUGAUAGGUAUGUUUUAACAGAUGUGUCUUUUUGGUUAUAGCCAUCCUAGUGGGUAUGACGGAGAAGGCAAUGGCACCCAACUCCAGUACUCUUGCCUGGAAAAUCCCAUGGACAGAGGAGCCUGGUGGGCUGCAGUCCAUGGGGUCGCUAAGAGUCAGAUACGACUGAGUGACUUCACUUUCACUUUUCACUUUCACGCAUUGGAGAAGGAAAUGGCAACCCACUCCAGUGUUCUUGCCUGGAGAAUCCCAGGGAUGGGGUAGCCUUGUGGGCUGCCAUCUAUGGGGUCGCACAGAGUCGGACACGACUGAAGCCACUUAGCAGCCGCAGUAGCAACAGUGGGUAUGAAGUUGUAUCUGAUUGUGAUUUUGAUUUGCAUUUUCCUGGUGGCUCAGACUAACAUUUAUUGUGAAUCUCCCAACUGUGUCUAUUGUUUUUUCCCCCUCAGGAAAUUCCCUUUUUGUUUUGUCUGGAGGAUAUGUGUCCAGCUAUGGCUCCUGGAUCUAAGGGGAGGAAGUAAGUUGAUCCUGGGAGGCUCAGCCCAGGAGCCAGGUCCUGGCCGGCCAGUUGUCCCUUUCCUAGGUGCAACCGAAAGUUAAACUAGCUUUGCUAACUGAGCUUCGGCUGGGCGGGCGGUAGCUACAGGUGAGUUCUUAAAGGGGCCGCCAGAGCUUGAGUAAUACUUGAAGCUGUUGACUUGGAGGGAGUUGCAGGCAAGGGAGAAUGAAUGAGAAAACGAACGAACCAAUUUUCUAUUUCCUUCCUUAAAUGCAUUCAUACUUGGAAUUAAUCACUUAGAUUUAAAAAAUUCUCUGGUAAAACCUUCAAUCUCUUAUCAGAUUAACUAAUCUCCAUGUUUUACCUACCCUUCUUUAAUUCAGUUCCUCCGAAACUUUUACUGAGGGGCUAAUACUAACUUUUAAAAAAUUAGCACCGAGUGUAAGAACGCAAAGACGGCACCCCUCCCCCUCGCAAAUGCUUCCCUUUUCCCCCUCCCAGGCUCCGCCCUUUCCCGCCCCCUAUCGUGGGUGGCGCAGUCGACACCUCCCAGAGAAUGCUUUUCCAGGUUGGGGAUCCACCCCUGGGGUGGAUCUCUCUCCGGCAGAGUUGGAAACGAUACGCGUUUAGUGAGGUUAAAGGGUGUCUCGGAAUGUGUGUCCUGAAUCUGGUGUAGGUGAGGUCACAUUUCUCUUCCAUCACUGUCACUCUUCCUCGCCUGGUGCUCUACUCGCUCAGAGCCGCGGGACACACCGGUGGGCUAGGACGAGGUAAAGGCGGGCUCUUCCAGGGCGCCCUGACCCACCUGUAGAGUCUGUGCGUGAACUCCUUUGUUCUCAGAACCACUUCGGUGGCCGCGCCUUUAUGCAAGGAGCUUCACUUGGAUGUUCCUCAGGUCCCCUUCUGCCGUCCCCAGCCCCCUCCUGGCCCUCCUCCCUCUUCGAACCCAAAGGUAGCAGCGCUGAGAGCCCGG
ensembl:lncRNA